rnacentral:lncRNA from 10 species
AGAAGGUGGAAGUGAUAUUAUGCCAGGUCCAGACUUAGGCCUUAGGAGGCCUGGCAGUUUCCAUUUUCACCCUCUUGGGAUCCAGCCACUAUGAAACCAAGUUCACCUGCUUUAUUGGAGAGAGAAAUGACCUAGAAGAUGAAAGACAGCAAAGGGAGAGCAGGAUGCCCAGCCAGCCACCAGCCAUUCUGACCCCUUCAGCUGAGGCACUGCAUGGACAGCGCUGGGGAGAAUGAACGCCUGAGUACUCAUGUCUUUAUGCACUGUAGUAUUAUUUCCUUACAACAGACUCCUGAACCUGGAACGGCAGUGUCAAAGGGUUCACAAAAUGUUAGACUUCUGAAGCAAAUCAGAUGGCACCUUUUUUGAAUAAUGAAGAAUCUUUACCCCUGGCAUGAGGAGCUGAGGACAACUCCCACUCCACGAUGUGAAGCCACAGAGUUUCGAGGCCCCAGGACCUCCAGCGUCAAUGUUGUGGGAUGAUGGGUGACAGAGCCAAAGCAUCGCCAUCUUGGACAAGCACGGUCAUUCUGAAGUUCCCCUUGAUCAAAAACUGCCUAAACCCAAAGGAUAUCAGCCUGAUGGCUAAGGUCAGCAUGACCAUAAACCAUAAAUAACAUCUCUGACCAGGAACAUUCCAAACCCCUCCAUGAGACAUGCCAGCCCUGAGAUAACCUCCCCUCCGGCCAGAAAGAUGUCAGACCCAAGAUAACCUCCCCUCCGACCAGAGACAUCCCAACCCUGCCAUAAACUUCUCCCCCACACAGAAACAUUCUGAGCUUGUAAUAAGCCCCCUCAUCCUAAAACCAAUAUAUACUCUUAGUCCGUAAGAGAAAGUGCUCCUGAACAAAAUUGGCCAGAAGCCCCUCUCCGGCUUAUUUUCUCUAAAAUACAUCUGUCGUUAAAUUGAGCCACAGUUCGUGUUUCUUCCCUCUUUCUUUAACUCUUACAAUGGGAAGCAAACUUUUUUAGUGGGUUAUUAGGAAUAAUAGUGAAAAGCAUAAUUCUCCU